rnacentral:sRNA from 1 species
CUGCUGCUGGAAAAGGGCUGGCAGCGGCUGGAGGAGCUCCGGGACCAGCAGCGCUCUCAGGCCCUGGUCAACCUGCACCGCAGCUUCCACACCCACAUCUCCCGCCAGCGCAUCCUGCCCCGGAUGCAGGCUCGCGUGCGUGGGUUCCAGGCCAGCCUGUCUUCACACAUUCCUCCAACAGCUGUUGGCUGACCUUCUGCCUCAUCUGCCCUGGGCCAGAUGCUGGCGAUAGAGCUGGGGGUGCCAGAGAUGGGGCCUCCCAGGCUAGGUGGGGAGUCAGAUUCAGAUGGUAGAGCAGCCAGUGAUCUUCCCAGAGAGUAACUCGAGGGCUGAGAAUAAAGUGAAGACAGUG